rnacentral:rRNA from 1 species
UGGCGGCGUGCUAAUACAUGCAAGUCGAACGAGUUUUGGUCGAUGAACGGUGCUUGCAUUGUGAUUCAACUUAAAACGAGUGGCGGACGGGUGAGUAACACGUGGGUAACCUGCCCUUAAGUGGGGGAUAACAUUUGGAAACAGAUGCUAAUACCGCAUAAAUCCAAGAACCGCAUGGUUCUUGGCUGAAAGAUGGCGCAAGCUAUCGCUUUUGGAUGGACCCGCGGCGUAUUAGCUAGUUGGUGAGGUAACGGCUCACCAAGGCGAUGAUACGUAGCCGAACUGAGAGGUUGAUCGGCCACAUUGGGACUGAGACACGGCCCAAACUCCUACGGGAGGCAGCAGUAGGGAAUCUUCCACAAUGGACGCAAGUCUGAUGGAGCAACGCCGCGUGAGUGAAGAAGGCUUUCGGGUCGUAAAACUCUGUUGUUGGAGAAGAAUGGUCGGCAGAGUAACUGUUGUCGGCGUGACGGUAUCCAACCAGAAAGCCACGGCUAACUACGUGCCAGCAGCCGCGGUAAUACGUAGGUGGCAAGCGUUAUCCGGAUUUAUUGGGCGUAAAGCGAGCGCAGGCGGUUUUUUAAGUCUGAUGUGAAAGCCCUCGGCUUAACCGAGGAAGCGCAUCGGAAACUGGGAAACUUGAGUGCAGAAGAGGACAGUGGAACUCCAUGUGUAGCGGUGAAAUGCGUAGAUAUAUGGAAGAACACCAGUGGCGAAGGCGGCUGUCUGGUCUGUAACUGACGCUGAGGCUCGAAAGC